GGCCUCAAGUCAAGCGACAGCACCCGCUGAAUUUAAGCAUAUUACUAAGCGGAGGAAAAGAAACCAACAGGGGAUUCCCUCAGUAGCGGCGAGCGAAGCGGGAAGAGCCCAAGCUCUGAAUCUGGGCGCGCGUCAUGUUUCGUGCUCCGAAUUGUGGUCUCGUGGCANGGCAUCGCUGAGGCGACCGCGCGUUGGGCAAAAGUCCCUUGGAAAAGGGCGCCAGGNAGGGUGACAGCCCCGUCCAUUGGUCCAGCGNGGNCGUNCGAUCGCGUCGUUGCGCUUGCCCCAAAANCGGGNUGUU
rnacentral:rRNA from 1 species